GCGUUGUCCGGAUUUACUGGGCGUAAAGAGCGCGCAGGCGGUCGAAUAAGUCGAAUGUGAAAGCCCCCGGCUCAACUGGGGAGGGUCAUUCGAUACUGUUCGACUUGAAGGUAGGAGAGAGAAGCAGAAUUCCCGGUGUAGUGGUGAAAUGCGUAGAUAUCGGGAGGAAUACCAGUGGCGAAGGCGGCUUCUUGGCCUAUUCUUGACGCUGAGGCGCGAAAGCUGG
rnacentral:rRNA from 1 species